rnacentral:rRNA from 1 species
UACAGAGGGGGCCAGCGUUAUUCGGAAUUACUGGGCGUAAAGGGCGCGUAGGCGGCGUGUCAAGUCAGGCGUGAAAGCCCCGGGCUCAACCUGGGAACCGCGCUUGAGACUGGCAUGCUCGAGUUCGGGAGAGGAUGGUGGAAUUCCCAGUGUAGAGGUGAAAUUCGUAGAUAUUGGGAAGAACACCGAUGGCGAAGGCAGCCAUCUGGACCGACACUGACGCUGAGGCGCGAAAGCGUGGGGAGCAAACAGG